rnacentral:pre_miRNA from 1 species
UUACUACUACCUCUGUUUCAUAAUUCUUGUCGAAAUAUUACAUGUAUCUAGACGCUUGUUAAGAAUAGAUACAUCCAUUUUUAAGCAAAUUUGAGACACGAAUUAUGAAACGGAGGGAGUACUAU